rnacentral:lncRNA from 1 species
CCAUUUAGUCGCUUGUGCAGUGCAAUUUACAUCUACAGAGUGAAAAAUGAAGGUGAUUGUACGGACACCACCUCAUGAAUCGGAACUGGAGGCUCAGCCCAAAAUCUCCACCAGGGAGAUUUUCCAGACCAUGUGCAAGUCAUUGGGCGUGCAGGAAACCUGGUGGUUUGGGCUGAUGUACAAAGGACCAGACAAUGAAGAUGUCUGGAUAGAUAAAUCCAAAAAGGUAAGACUAGCAAAUAAUGACCACACUUAUGCAGCUUUAGUUGGACAAAAUGCGGUGUUAUUUUACUUGCUUUGAAUGACCCAAAAAAGCAACUAAACCCCAAAGAACUUUAAUUAAAAAAGGGCUUUCUAUUGUUUAUCGAGAGAAAACAAUGAUGGGGAGCUUAACGGCAAAUGGCAAAAAACAACAUUGAAGAACCGAUCGUUUUUUCCCUUGCCUUCCAUAAUCCAUCCAGUGCGAUUUGUGUAAAUAAGAAAAACGAGAGCAUGAAACGUAUUCGCCGGCAAAAAGCAGUAAAAGGUAAAAGCUGGAAAAUGUGUCUGAAAAUUGGUUCAAUUUCUCUUCGCGCAAAUCCUGCAGGAAAAUCCACGACGUUCAAGUAAUAAGUAGCAUUUUAUCGUAAUAUCGGGCAUUUGUCUUAUCCCCUUCAUGAUUGGUCAUUGAUUAGUAAUAACGAAUCCAAAAAUAAACAUGAAGCUGACCUAUUGUUCUCGUGUACCACAAUCAGACGCUGAAUGUGUGAUGACACAUUAGUUAGCACCCAUUUUAAUCAAUGCGAAUCGGAUCUGGUUAAUUCACAUAACCGGUUAAGGACCAAAUUAAGUGCAAACACAUGGCCUGGGGCCUGGUCUUGUUAGUUUUACUCAGCUCAAACCAUAAACACAAUAAACUUACGUCUUGCGGGUACUAAUUAAGUAUGGGAAAUUGCCAAUAUGGAUCGAGAGACAGCAGAUGUAUAUCGAAAAAAAGCAAUAAACAGCAGCAGCUUGCUGAAUAACUCUUUUGAAUGGUUUAUAACUAAGCCUGAGGUUUUGGCUAUUGAAGUUGCACACUUUUCCAAAUAAUUGACUCUUUUAAAAGAGGGGACUUUGCCUGAACAGUUCGGUUCUUGGUCAUAGCGAAGAUUGGAAAAUUUCGAACUUAAUUUUCGCUUCUGCAUGGUUUGCAGCAUGUUGAAAGCAGGGCCUAAAUUAGGAGCAGCUGAAGACAAUUAAUUACCGCAAAAAUAACAUUUUAACAACGAUAUUUCAGUUACGUAUGAUAAAAUGUUCCCAGCAUGUUCAUAACUUGAUGGUUAAUUAGUAUGGAGUUAGUUUUGCUGGAAAAUCUCUAUUGCUUUCAAUGUUCAUGCAAUUUUGAGCAGAAAAAUCACUUUCUUGUAGCUAAUCGAGUAUUAUAAGUUGAGAACAAGAU